GCGUGCUCCUUUUUUUGUAUGACCUCGUUUGAAGAGGACGGUCGGUGUUCAGACGCGGAGGGGGUGCAAGAGGGCGGUGCAAGAGGUGCUGAGAACAGGACGAGCGGCAGCGUCGCCCGGAGCGUAGCGUCGGGGCCCCCGAGCCCGUCGCGUUGGAUAAGGCGUACUAAAGAACGGGAGAGGCAGAAGGGAAGAAGGUAACUCCAGACUUCCUAGCCCCCUAAAAACAGACAAGUUCCUUAACCAAGGACCCAAUAAAAUCAAACAUUUUUUCAUAAAGGAGUUUAUACCACCGGAGAGAUCUAUUACACUCUCCGAACUGAAAUCGGUACAGUAGGUCACGUAAGUAGCCAAGUUCGAAACAUUAGUUCUUUUAACCCGACUUCUUCCGACCCCUAAGACCCCGUUCUCGUUCUCGUCCAAGACCUCCAGUAAGUAUGAACAUACUUGGUAAUACCACCGACCCUUACCAGUGAUACUAAGAACCUCUCUAUCGUUUGAAACGUCGUAUGCGUAAACGGGGACGGUAUGAACAAUGAGGAGAUCCUCGAGACUCGUAUUAUAAAUCACGAGCGUGUGAAGUAGGACUUUCUCUCUAACGUAUACAAACCACAACAACCAACGUAGAACACACAACAACCCAGACAACCAUAUCAAAACGUACGGGGUUUCCUCUCCCUCUAAUUAAGUCACCUCCUUUAUACCGUAAAACGUUGAGUCGGUCCAAAGUAACAAAUAAGUACACACCGACACCAACCACGAGAAAAAAACUAAAAGACCCGACAGUUUGCGAGACCAGUAUCCUUCUACGAGCAGAUAUAACGUUAGACAAGUGAUUACCCUAGUGAGUGCCAAUAGUCGCAUUUUCGUCAACGGUAACGGAACUUCGACAGUAAAUCACUUAGUUUGGUUAAGUAGAUGCAGGUCUGCACCAAGAAGUAUAAACAACAGUAAUAAACGACGAACCACGUCAACUUGAUAAAUUUGUUCCGAGACCUGAGAAAGUUAUGCCGACACCAGAGAGGCCAUAUGAUGCACUACAAGUGGUAAGAAUGCUAAGAGCGAUUGUACUAAUACAUGUUCCUAACCCAAAGUGUCUCACGUUGUGUCUAUCGAUGAGUUGAUACACCCAAGCACUGAUAACAACGUCCCUGAAAAGAUGAAGUGUUCUGAUUGUGGUCGUCGUGUCUAUCUGUACGCCUCUCACGUGGUUGUGGAGGUGGUGGCGGCGGCGGCGGCGGACUAGUUUAAACACACGUCCCUACUUCGGACGAAGGUUCAAUAAUGGAUUGAAGUCGAGGUGCAGAUUGUACAUGGUUUUGUAACUCUGUUGUUCGUGUACCUUAGGCUAACUUACAAUAUAACCAUAUCAUCAUCGUAAAAAACAAUUUCUACAAAGAGAAAAUGGACAUAUCAACUUCACAUACUUAUAUCGGAAGUGAUGUGUACUGAACUUUAAAUACGUCUCUCAAAUAAUAUUUUUUAAACCUUUGCUAUGAUGGUUUGCUUCAAACA
rnacentral:rRNA from 1 species